GUCCAGCUGACGAGUCCGGAAUAGAUCGAAACGCGCGUCUUGAAU
rnacentral:hammerhead_ribozyme from 1 species